AUGGCACAGACAGAUCUGGAUAUUCGAUUAUUGCAACAACCACCAAACAGCCCUGAGCUCAAUGUUCUAGAUCUUUGUUUCCACUGCUCCCUCCAAUCCCUAACCGACUGCAGAGCGCCUAUGAAUAUACAGGAACUGGUACAGGGUGUAGAGGAGGAGUUUGAGAGCUACGAUCCCCAUAAGCUGUUCAAAAGCUUUAUGACGUUGCAAGCAGUCAUGGUGGAAGUGAUGAAAGAUCAAGGAGGAAAUACCUAUAAGCUGCCGCAUCUACACAAGGACCGUCUACAAAAUGGUGGAGAAGAAAUAACCGGUGUAUAUUGCAGUGCAGAGCUAAUUACUGAUACGAUGGCCAUUAUAGAACAAGGGGAAUAUAGCUCAGGAAAAGGAAAGGGAAAGGAGUAUAUAGGGAAAGGAAAAAGAAAUGAUAGGAGUAUGUCAUGUGUCAUGUGUAUGUCUUUGUGUCAUGUGUUCAAUGAGAAAAGAUUGGAGUGUGUCAUGUGA
rnacentral:rRNA from 1 species